AGCAGCCGCGGUAAUUCCAGCUCCAAUAGCGUAUAUUAAAGUUGUUGCAGUUAAAAAGCUCGUAGUUGAAUUUCGGGAUCAAUACGUCGGUCGUGCUUCGGUACGUACUAACGUCAUUGAUUUCUCCCUUCUGACGAAUCGUGAUGUCAUUAAUUUGGUGUUACGGGGAGUUAGGACUGUUACUUUGAAAAAAUUAGAGUGUUUAAAGCAAGCAAUCGCUCGAAUACAUUAGCAUGGAAUAAUGAAAUAGGACGUUCGAACCUAUUUUGUUGGUUUCUAGGAUCGACGUAAUGAUUAAUAGGGAUAGUUGGGGGCAUUAGUAUUCAAUUGUCAGAGGUGAAAUUCUUGGAUUUAUUGAAGACUAACUACUGCGAAAGCAUUUGCCAAGGAUGUUUUCAUUAAUCAAGAACGAAAGUUAGGGGAUCGAAGACGAUCAGAUACCGUCGUAGUCUUAACCAUAAACUAUGCCGACUAGGGAUCGGAUGAUGUUAAUUUUAUAAUGACUCAUUCGGCGCCUUAC
rnacentral:rRNA from 1 species